rnacentral:rRNA from 1 species
UAGGGAAUCUUCCGCAAUGGGCGAAAGCCUGACGGAGCAACGCCGCGUGAGUGAUGAAGGUCUUCGGAUCGUAAAACUCUGUUAUUAGGGAAGAACAAAUGUGUAAGUAACUAUGCACGUCUUGACGGUACCUAAUCAGAAAGCCACGGCUAACUACGUGCCAGCAGCCGCGGUAAUACGUAGGUGGCAAGCGUUAUCCGGAAUUAUUGGGCGUAAAGCGCGCGUAGGCGGUUUUUUAAGUCUGAUGUGAAAGCCCACGGCUCAACCGUGGAGGGUCAUUGGAAACUGGAAAACUUGAGUGCAGAAGAGGAAAGUGGAAUACCAUGUGUAGCGGUGAAAUGCGCAGAGAUAUGGAGGAACACCAGUGGCGAAGGCGACUUUCUGGUCUGUAACUGACGCUGAUGUGCGAAAGCGUGGGGAUCAAACAGG